rnacentral:rRNA from 1 species
UACGGAGGGGGCUAGCGUUGUUCGGAAUUACUGGGCGUAAAGCGCACGUAGGCGGCUUUGUAAGUUAGAGGUGAAAGCCCGGGGCUCAACUCCGGAACUGCCUUUAAGACUGCAUCGCUUGAAUCCAGGAGAGGUGAGUGGAAUUCCGAGUGUAGAGGUGAAAUUCGUAGAUAUUAGGAAGAACACCAGUGGCGAAGGCGGCUCACUGGUCCGGUACUGACGCUGAGGUGCGAAAGCGUGGGGAGCAAACAGG